rnacentral:rRNA from 1 species
UACGUAGGGGGCUAGCGUUGUCCGGAAUCAUUGGGCGUAAAGCGCGCGUAGGCGGCCAGAUUAGUCCGGUGUGAAAGCCCGCGGCUCAACCGUGGAAUUGCCAUUGAAACUGAGUAGCUUGAGUACAGUUGAAGUGGGCGGAAUACAUCAUGUAGCGGUGAAAUGCUUAGAUAUGAUGUAGAACACCGAUUGCGAAGGCAGCUCACUAAGCUGUAACUGACACUGAGGCACGAAAGCGUGGGUAGCGAACAGG